rnacentral:rRNA from 1 species
UGGGGAAUAUUGGACAAUGGGCGCAAGCCUGAUCCAGCCGUGCCGCGUGAGUGAUGAAGGUCUUAGGAUUGUAAAGCUCUUUCACCGGUGAAGAUAAUGACGGUAACCGGAGAAGAAGCCCCGGCUAACUUCGUGCCAGCAGCCGCGGUAAUACGAAGGGGGCUAGCGUUGUUCGGAAUUACUGGGCGUAAAGCGCACGUAGGCGGAUAUUUAAGUCAGGGGUGAAAUCCCAGAGCUCAACUCUGGAACUGCCUUUGAUACUGGGUAUCUUGAGUAUGGAAGAGGUGAGUGGAAUUCCGAGUGUAGAGGUGAAAUUCGUAGAUAUUCGGAGGAACACCAGUGGCGAAGGCGGCUCACUGGUCCAUUACUGACGCUGAGGUGCGAAAGCGUGGGGAGCAAACAGGAUUAGAUCACCCGUGGUAGUCCACCGCCGUAAACGAUGAACUGGUUAGCCGCCGGGCAGUAGUACUGUUCGGUGGCGCAGCAUAACGCAUUAAACAUUCCCGCCUGGGGAGUACGGUCGCAAGAUU